GAAGGAUGGUGAGCCAGCCCUUAUGCCAAUUCAAGAUGAGAGUUCCACUUCGCUUUAAAGGAUAGGGGGGGAUAUCUGAGUCGAUAGGGCCAUAUUCAAAAGGGAGAUAAGUGGAUUGAGCGUACUUUAAUGCAAAAAAAUAAAAAGAACUUCAAAAAUUCCUCAUCCCCCCGAAACAUGAUCAUCAUCCUAAAACCAUCCGGAUGCAUCACUUGGAAAUGCUUGGGCCAAAACCAAGAGCUAAAGGAGAUGGGAAGUUAGCUGACACAAAGGAGCUUUACUAAUAGAAAGGGGCUUAAGAUAUACGAUUCGAAAGCUCUUCGAAUGAUGCAAGCAAUGGGAUACUCAAUUGAGGAAGCCCAAGGGUUGUACAAUGGAAGAGGAAUGUUAGCACCGUUUGACGCCAUGUAUUCUCCAGCACAAAAGAGAGCUCUCUUUGAAGAUCCAGAAUGCGGAAAGGUCUUUAGGCGGCCGGGCUUAGGGUGUGACGAGAAGGUUGAGGUACCCGAGCAAGAUAGUCACAUGUUCGAAGAUGAUAAAAAAGUCUUCCACAUUUCUGAGGAACAUGAUUCUGAUGAGGAUGACGAAGUUAAGAAAGAAAAGGAAAAAGAACUAGAGCUAUUUGAACAGCAC
rnacentral:misc_RNA from 1 species